rnacentral:rRNA from 1 species
UGGGGAAUUUUGCACAAUGGGGGAAACCCUGAUGCAGCGACGCCGCGUGAUUUAGAAGGCCUUCGGGUUGUAAAAAUCUUUUUUACGGGAUGAAAAUGACAGUACCGUAAGAAUAAGGUCCGGCUAAAUACGUGCCAGCAGCCGCGGUAAUACGUAUGGACCGAGCGUUGUCCGGAAUCAUUGGGCGUAAAGGGUACGUAGGCGGCCUAAUAAGUUAGAAGUGAAAGAAUAUAGCUCAACUAUAUAAAGCUUUUAAAACUGUUAGGCUUGAGAGAUGAAAGGGAAAGUGGAAUUCCUAGUGUAGCGGUGAAAGGCGCAGAUAUUAGGAAGAAUACCGGUGGCGAAGGCGACUUUCUGGUCAUCAUCUGACGCUGAGGUACGAAAGCGUGGGUAGCAAACAGG